UUAUUGAUGGGUGGGGCUAAAGGGAGUAGGAUAAUAGUAACUACUCGAUCUCUAAGGGUAGCGGAGAUAACUAAUAAAUGUCAAUCCCAUGUUUUGAAAUUGAAAGGCCUGUCUGAUGAUGAUGCUUGGUCUUUGUUCAAAAAGAUAGCAUUUGAGCAAGGAUAUGCAGACUCAACAAAUUCAGCCUUUGUGGAAGUAGGGAGACAGAUUUCGGAAAGGUGUGGUGGGGUUCCCUUAGCCAUAAGGACGAUAGCUGGUACAUUAUCUUUGAAGAAAACUGCAAAUGAGUGGCAUUCUUUCAAAGAAAAUGAACUUGCUAAAAUAUCACAAAUUGAAGAACUUCUACCUAUCCUGAAAUUGAGUUAUGAUCAUCUCCCGUCUCAUUUGAAGCAUUGCUUUGCUUAUUGCCGAUUGUAUCCAAAAGAUUACAGAAUUGAAGUACAAGAGCUUGUUCAAUUUUGGAUUGCACAGGGUUUCAUAAAGCAAUUGAAUCAAGGUCAAUCUCUCGAGGAGAUCGGAUUUGGGUAUUUUAAAGAUUUAGUUGAAAGAAGUUUCUUUCAAGAGGUAGAAGGAGACUUGAUGGAAGAAAUGACAUGUAAAAUGCAUGAUUUAAUGCAUGAUGUAGCUGAAUCAGUAGCAGGGAUGGAGAGUAGUAUUGUAGAUUCAAAUAAAAUUGCAAGUGAUGUUGGUGAAAAAUGUCGCCACAUAUCAAUUAAACCUUCAUUAAUUCCUUUGUUUAAGGGAAAGAAGUUGCGAACCUUGUUACAUUUUCAAGACAAAAUAAGUCAAGAUUUCAGCUAUGAAACUUGGGAUUUGAUAAUUGCAAAUUGUAGAUGCUUGCGUGUAUUGAAAUUGACUAAUUUGUUAGGUAUUCAAAAGAUUUCACCCUCCAUUUACAAGUUGAAACUUUUGAGGUACCUUGAUCUUUCUUCCAAUUACAAUAUUAAGAUUCUCCCAAAGAGUAUUUGCAAGAUUCAGAAUUUGCUAGCGCUGAAACUUGACUGCUGUUAUGGGCUUAAAGAAUUGCCAAAGAAGAUUGAAAAAUUGGUGAAUCUUACCCAUCUUGCGUGUGAAGAUUGUUGUAGUUUAACUCAUAUGCCACGUGGAAUAGGGAAGCUGACUUCACUUGAGACGUUAAGCAUGUUUGUAGUGGAUAAAGAUGGGUCCCAUGGCGGUGCAGAUCUAAGUGAAUUGAGACUGCUUAACAACUUAAGGGGACAUCUACAAAUAACAAAUUUGGGAUUCGUAAAAAAUGCAAAAGAGAAGUUUAAGGCUGCUAAUUUGAAAGAGAAGCAACAUUUGAGAUCGUUGCUUUUAGAAUGGAAUGUUGAUGAAGAUGAUGAUGAGAAGUCACUUGAAGAUCUCCAGCCCCAUCCUAAUCUCAAGAAGCUCUGGAUUCGAGGAUGGAGGGGUGAUGCCAAGUUUCCGAUUUGGCUUUCUUUGCUCACAAAUCUCGUUUCUAUGACAAUACAUCGGGGUAAUUUCAAACAAAUCCCGUCCUUUGCGCAAUUUCCUUGUCUUAAAGGGCUGACCAUAGAUGAUUGUACUAAGCUGGAGUACAUGGAUGAUAAUAGCCCAAAAGGAAGUCAAGGAGAACCACAAUCAUUCUUCCCAUCACUGAAGCAUCUUUCGCUCUUUUUCUGUCCGAAUAUGAAGAGUUGGUGGAGGACGACAAAACCAAUCGAUGAUGAUUCCAACGAGGACGACACAACAGUUAUGGGAACAUCAACCAUGGCAUUUCCUUGUCUUUCCUCUUUAACAAUUCAAAAUUGCCCUUUGACUUUGAUGCCACUGUAUCCAUCACUCGAUGAAGGUCUAAAGUUGUCGAAUACCAGUUCAAGGCCGUUAAAGCAGACUAUCAAGAUGAACAUCAAUGCUAAGGCCCCAUCAACUUCAACCUCUUCUCUUCCACUCUCCAAAUUGAAAUCUUUCCAUGUAUACAACAUUGAGGGGUUGGACACUCACACGCUAGAUGAGUGCCUGCAACAUCUCACCAGCCUCAAAAGAUUAACAAUUGGAGAUUGCAAGGAGGUUGAUUUAGAGGGCAUGCAAUGGGAACCCCUUAAGAAUCUCUCUCAUUUGGAGAUUGAUAAUAUUCCAAAGCUGGUGUCUCCCUCCAUUUGGCUUCAACAUCUUGUUCAAUUGCAAACAUUAAAAAUUCAUAACUGCAAUGGAUUGAGGUCACUGCUUCCUGUGUUCCAACAUCUCACUUUCCUUGAAGAGUUCGAAGUAAAGGACUGCAAGAAGCUGGAGUUAUCUGGAGCUGGCAUCCAAAUAUUCCAAGAUCAUACUAGCCUACGCUCUCUACGGCUGGAACAUAUUCCAAAGUGUCGGCAUCUUCCGAAGUGGCUUCAACAUCUAACAAAUCUGCAAGGGCUUUAUCUCGUUAAUUUGCCCAAUUUAACAUCUCUUCCGGACGAGAUGCGUUGCCUAACCAAAUUGCAAAUUUUAUACAUAAAUGGAAUUCCUCAGUUGGAGGAAAGAUGUCGGAAGGACAUUGGCGCUGAUUGGCAAAAGAUUGCUCACAUCCCCAUCAUUCGGUUGAUUCAGGUUGGUCCGUCUUUGUUAUUUAUUUAUUUUGAUGACCUUAUCUGUUUUUGAAGAAAAAUAAGAGUGGUAUAUUGAAUCUCCAAGUCAGGGGUCUGAUGCCAUUUUUCGUUGAAGUUGGAUACUGUUAAUUUCCUUGUUAAAAUCCCUUUGUUUUCAUCCUACUUUUUACUUAUCAUCUUUCAUAAUAUUUUUGCUGAUUUGUGCAGAAAGGCAUUGGAGAAAGGCAUUAGUGAACUUCAAUCAUUUUAUAUGCAUAAAAAGAGGUGCUAAUUUAUCUAUUUGCUUUUUACUUUUAAAUCAUAAGAAUAACUUGACAAUUGCUUCUAAUAAUUUAAUUCUAAAAAAUCAUUGAUGUGGAGAGAGAGGCCUAUGAAGCCUUCAAAUUGGUUGUACUAUAUGCUCUGCUUUCUUCAUUUAAGCACUUACUUAUCAUAUCUUUAUUUCAGAAUAUUUGGUGGUGAGAUUGAAGUUGAUAAAAUGUUUCAUUACUUAUAUAUCAACAGCAUUAUACUAAACACACAUAUGUGCAAAUAUAAGGCUGAUAAUAAUGGGAUUUGUAACAUAUUCUAUGUUGGCAUUUAUAAUUUUCAGGUUCAUUGAUGCUUUUGGAAGAGUCGUUGUUCAAGCAUGACAAUUGCCAGACAUACUGCAUUUGAAAAUUUAUUAUUUCACCUUACAUGGAGCUUAUUAAGAGCUUGAUUCAUAGUAGGAAAACCAUCUGAGCGUUGAAUGUGAAUUUUCACUUGCAUAGCUAAAAUGAGUUGGGAGAGAAUUUGCUUAAUUGUACAAAAGUGAGAUUGCAUCAAGUGUUUGAGGGGUUAAGCUUAAAUCAUUUCUUUGUACUAUGAAGUUCAUAGUGGAUUCAUCUUUGGGCAAAGCCCCGUAGACGUAGGACAAGUUCCGAACUGCGUAAACAUCUUAAUUGUGUUCUUUAUUUUCCUUGUUGCAUAAUAUGUACCAACUCAGGAAAAAACACAUUUUAAAUGUUCCAAACAGUAUUCAAAUGCAGGGAUGCACAAUUGAUUAUGAGACAAUAAUUGUUUUAGACGGUAUUUCACAUUUUUCAAUUAUGAUGCUUCCAAAAGAUGUCGAUGUCCUGGUUGUAUAUACAUGACACGUGUGUUGAUGAUUAUGUUGGCACACAUCAAAUUACAAGUUGAAUAACACCUUAUAAAGGCCUAUCAUGGCACAAGCCAAUAUUCCAAGCAUCUAAUUGUUAUUUUUCCCAUUGUUUUCCUUAUCAAAAUACAAGUAAUUUUCAACAAUGUAAUUAAAAUGUAAUUUUCAACAAGGUAGCGAAAUGUGGAAUUAAAUUUUUCAAAAAUUUUAAAGAACCUAAUGAGAAUUUCAAAAAAAAAGGGUCUAAUUAAAACUAACAAGACUAUUAAAGGGCUUAGUGAAGAUUUUAAAAAAAUUGAGGAGUUUAAUUAAAAUUUUCAAAAAAAUUGAAGGCUUAAUUCGAAUUUCCCAAAUUUGGAAAGGGGGAGGGGUAUGGAGAGCUCUGGCUCCCAUUGCCUUCUGCCUCGAGUAAUUUUUGAAACUAUAAAGAAAGUGUUGUGAUCUGUCCAUGGCAUUGUAACCUACGCUCUCUAUCACCGGCAAAAAUUCCAAAGUGUCGGCAUCUUCCGGAGAGGGUUGCAAUUUCUUUAUCUCUCUGAUUUGCCCAAUUUUAGAUCGCUUCUGAGAUGACCAGUUUGAAAUCUUUACAUAUACGACAAAUUCCUCAGUUGGAAGGACAUUGGCGCUGAUUGGCAUAAAAUUGCUCACAUCCCACGCAUUUGGUUGUAAUCAGGUUGAUGGAAAGGCAUUUGUGCAGUAACCCAUUGGAGAAAGGCAUUUGAGAACUUCAAUAAUUUGCAAGAGUUCCUCAGUUGAUGGAAGGACAUUGGUGCCGAUUGAUUUGUUGGCUUUUGAGGUCUUUGAUCUAUUAUUUAUCCUUCCUCCUUUAGCAGAUACAGGUGUCUGGAAGGGACUGUUGGAUAUGCUGGUAACUCCUGGACUGCUUUGUCCAUUGGCUAGACUCAUCAUUUUUGUCUGCUGCGCUUUUCCUUUUUAAUUGCUGAGAAAAAUCAGCAAUAAUUCAAAGUAGUGACAAUGGCAGGCAAAAUUACAAGGUCCCUUAGUAUCUGUGCAUGGUUAUAUCUACAUUAACAACCAAUUGAAUUGAAGAAAAUAAAAUAAAAAAGAGCAUAAGUUUAACAGAUGCAUAUGUAGGAGAGCUUGUAUAAGAAAACUUACUGUUAGUCAUAAGAACCAUCAGAAAUGCUUCACUACUUGAAGACAGAAUGAAAAAGGAAUAUAAUAUACGAACAUAAUUUUGCCUGACAAACUAUCAGACAUAUUAUACAUAAGGGGGAAAUAUGUAUAUCAACUGAAUCAUUUUUCAAACAUCCAUCAAAAGAACUAACACCCAUCAAGCUUUCUUCAUAUAGAGCACGGCAUUAAAUGUUUGGCUUUAAACCGAGAAUGGAGUAGCAUAACAUAACCUUCCUCUCUUACUAUAACAUUUAUAUUACGUAAAACUAACAUACUAUCAAUUGCAAUUAUAUUUGAUAGUACUAAAACUUAGUUUUCUCAAAUUAAGGCAUCAAAAUGUUAAAGUCAUCAGGUUUUGGACAUUGGAUGAGGCAAGCAUUCAUUAUAUUUCAACUUAGUUCAGCAAACGAGCACUUUAACCAUCAAAUACAUCAUCAAAAAACGGGAAUAGAUCACGUAUUAAAAUACAGACAUCACAAUAUCACUGCAGAAACAACUAAUGCUACUGAUAAUUUAUCCCCUAAGAAACUUACCCACCAUGAAAAGUUCUAUUUAUGAACAGAUCAAAAGAUCACACAAAAAAAUUAAGCAAACGACAUUAAGUGUUAAGUGAGAGUACAAUUCUCAUCAAAAUUGAAAUAAUAUACUACUAAUUACAUGAUAGCCACCAUUUUCAAAAGAGAAUUUUUGAACUCACUGGAAAUCUCACAAUAAUUGCUUCAACUUCUUGAUCGGCAACGAUUCCACGACUUUUACUAGGUGAAAAUCUGUGAUAAUCAUCGGGAUGAACAAACGGCGGGUUCGUCGAAGCGAAGGCCAGGUGACCACGUAUCGGCGGAACAACCGGAGGAACCGUCGAAGCUGGUGCUGUGGAAGCCGUAGGAGGAGGUUGAUACGGCAGCGUGGGACCAUCGCCGGACAUGGAGGUUUAUGAUUUCUAGGGGAAGGAGGUGGGGGUAUAAUUGGAAUUGGGGGAAUAGGAAGAGAGAGAAAGUGAGGGUUUUAGUUUAGACGUUAGAGAGAGAGUAGAAAACGAGGGAAAAGGGAGGGAAUCUUUUGUUCGGAUAAAUGUGGAGGGAAGUAUUUUGUACAUAAUUACAAUUUAUUUUUAUCUUUUUGAACUCUUAUCUUUUUCAAUUAUUCAAUUUCAUCCACAAUAAGAUUCAGAUACAUGUAUAAGGGUGAAAGUACCUGUAGUAUAGGGACUACAUCAAAUUAGUCUCAAUACUAUUAAAAAUGAUCAAAUAAAACCAAAUUACCAUAGAGUAAACAUUUAUUGCAUAAAAAUGUAUUAAAAUUUGUUAACUCUGAUAAUGUUAAUUCUGUUACAAUUUGAUAUAAUUUUAUUCUUUUUUAAUAAUGCAAGAAUAAAUUUGAUCUAUUUAAUAAUCAAGAGACUAAUUUGAUACAGUCUAUAAUAUGGGGACUUCCUAAAUACUUUAAGCUUUAUAAGUUGACCCUAUUUCACUAUUCAUUUAAUAUUAAAAAUUAAUGUUUUAAUAAUAUUUACACAUUUUUAUAAUUAAAUAUAAAUAAAAUGUUUUUAAUUAAUAAAGAGUAAAUCAAGUUGUAUUAAGUUUGCCCAAAGCAAAUAAUAAUAAUAAUAUCUUAUCAAAGAAUAACCUUCAAUCUGACCAAAUUGAAUGGGUUAAAUCAAGCAAGUAAUUAUAUUUUUACUGUGUGAAAUAAUAAAAUUUAUUUUUCAAUUUAUGUCUAAAUAAGUUUUUUUUUAUAGUUUUAUUUGUAUUUAGAUAAGUUUAUGGUUUUCUUUGGAUGUAUAAUUGGAUCAAUUCUAGUAAAAUUAAAAAUAACGUUGGGGUGAGAUUAGUUAUUGGAAUAGUUAGAUUGAAUAUCGUAGUGAUGUGAUAAUAACCAGUUUUGGAUAUAUAUUUGGAUUCAAUAACAAUUGUAGUAGUGAGGUGAGGUUAAAAAUGGAUAAAAACACCUCUUCCAUCCCUCUUUAAUUCAAUAUUUUGCAAAUUGGCCCUUCUAAAAAAAUAGAGUAAUUUAAUCCCUAUCAAUUUCAAAAGUGAACUAAGGACAAUUAACAAUAAUGUUAAUAUUUUUUGUCACUUGUAUAUAAUUUUGAUUAGUAUAAUCACAAAUUCAGUUCAUACAUAAUGUGUAAAUGUUGCAAUUUGAUUUAGUUAACCUAGAACUAAAUUGACAGAAUGUGUAAACUUUUAGGGCUAAAGUUAUUAUUAUACCAAUAAAAAUGUGUACAGAUGACAAAAAUAUUAACAUUGUGCUUAAUUAUUCUUAGCUACUAUAUUUCGAAAUUAACAAUGAUAAAAUUGCUCUAAAUUUUUUAGAAGGACCAAUUUGCUUGAGAUCAAAAUUGUAAGGGACCAGAAAGGUGUUUUCACCUUAAAUUGAUUAUUACGGAUGUUAAAUUAUUUAUAUUUAUAAAAUGAAAUAAUAUAACAUAUACUAAAUUUGCAAACAUGGUAAAUAAUAAAUUUAUUAAUAAAUAUAUUUUUAUUAAUUUUUUUAUUUAUUAUUACAUAUCUACUUAUUUAGAUUUAAUUCAUAUAAAAUUUGAUUAUGAAAAUUAUAUUUUUUCUUUGAAAUUAUUAUAAACUCAAAAUUCUAUACUUUAUAUAAAUGAAAAUAAUAAAAUAUAAUAAAAUUAUUUAUAUUAAAUAAUAAUUACAAAUAUAUUUAUGAUAAUAAAUUUACAUGUAUUUAAUAUAUCAUUAUAUAAAUAUUAAUUUGUAAUAUAUUUAAUUUUUAUAACAAUUAAAUAAUUAAAUUUAUAAUUAUCGUAUGAUAUGUACUUAUAUAACACCUCUAUAAGGUUAUAGUGAGAAAAAACAAUCUCAUUGCAAGUUAAAUUUUUUAAGAAAAUCUUUUAUGUCCAGUUUGGUGCAAUAAAAUCAAGUGAUACUUACCUCAAUUUGCUUAUCAUAUAUAUUAAUUUAAAUUUUAACAAUUAAUAAUUAAAUUCGAAUUAUAGUAAUACUAACCGAAAUUUCUCUCGAGUCGCUCCUUGUCCACCUUCUCCUUUCCUUUAUUGGUCAAUGACUCUUGCACGACAUUAGCUACGUAAUUAAACAAUUAAAAAUUAUUAAUACACAAUUUCAUCAAAAUAUUUCCAUUUAUACCUAAACUUUACCUAAAUUCUAAUUUAAUCCUUUAUCAAUACUAAUUUUAUUUUCCCAAUCUAACUCCAUAUUCUUUCUCAAUUCUUACUAUAAACUCAUUUUAACUCUUCAAUUUCACCAUAAAUCCCUAAUUUCUGGAUUCUUUUAAUUUAGUCCCUACUAAUCAAAACUUACACUUUAUUUUACAAUUAAAUCCUUUACUAACUUGUAACUUGAAAUUAAAUUAAUUUAACCCCUAAUUCUUUCAUUUAUUCAACAUAAUCAAUGUCUAGAAAUCUAAUAACUUCCAAAAUUUUGACAUAAAUCCAAUAAUACUUUGUUCUAGGAUUCCAAAAACAUCAAAACUAAGAGAAAAGGGAUUAAAUUGACUGACCAAAUUUUCCUUUUUCUUUUUCUUUCUUUCUUUUUCCUUCUUUCCUUUCUCUGUUUCGUUCUACUUCUCUGUUCUUUUUCUUUCUUUAUUUCCUUGUUUCUUUUAUUUCUUUACUUUAUAUUAUAAUAAUAAUAUAAUUACAAUAAAUAUCUAAUUAAUAACUAAUACAUAUAUUACAAAUGUAUACAUAUAUUUUUUUACACCUGUACUUAAUCUAUACCCUACACUUUCACAAAUUAAUUUAUUAAUCACAUAAAUAUCUUAUAAUUUAAUUAUUUAUCCAAUAAAUUUGUAUUUAAUAGACAAUAUAAAUAUUACAAUUGUAUAUAUUUAUCUUUUUACACAUUUGUUUAUAAUUACCACACACUUGUCACUUUUUAUUGUUUAAUUAUUAGUUUAGUCCUUUCACCUUUCUCUUUUCUAUAAUUAACUUUCACACUUAAUUCAAUUUAGUCCUAAUACAUAAUUAACUUUAAUUCAACUAAAUUCACUUAACUAAAAUCCAAUUGGUCUUAUAACUAAUUCUAUAAAUAUUUUUAAUAAUUAUUUUAAUAGUCCAUUUUACCAAAACAGAGACCUGAUAAUUCACUUUCCAAUACCUGCACUUUUUAGGUCGUUUCAAAAUUAAAAUCCCCCAAGUCCUAUAUAUUUUUUGUAAGUUUAGAAUUUAGUUUGUAUAUUUUUAUUUUUAAGAAAUUAGUUCCUAUAUUUUUUAAAUUUUAAAAUUCAAGUCCAACUGUUAACACUGUUAAAAUUAUUUUAUUAAAUUCAGGUUCAUUAAAAUGUCAUAUUCUUAGUUACAUGGCUACCAAGUAAGUAAAAUUUUUUUUAAAUCAAACUGUCACACUAACAAAUCCAACAAAAAAAAAUUUAACAGUAUUAACAAUUGGACCUGAAAUUUGAACUUUGAAAGUAAAAAAAUUAAAUUCCUAUAAAUACAAGUAUAAAGACUAAAUUUCAAAUUUAUGGCGAGUACAAGGACAUAUGGCAUAUUUUAACCUAAAAAAGGGUACCCUACUUUAGUAGUCAUCCAACUAAGUUUUUUUUCUUUUUCGGUCACUCAAUCAUGAAAAGUUACAAAAUAGUCUCCCAACGAUUCAAUUUUAUCAUUUUUAUCAUCAGUUGGCUAAUGAAAAAAUAGAAAACACCAAAAAAUCCAAGAUAAUUGGGUGAAAAAAAAGGAAAAAAAAUAAUAGUUUAUUGAUUAUUUUGUAACUUUUCAUAAUUAGGUAAAAGAAAUUACUAAUAAUUUGGUGAUCAUUUCGUAACUUUUUAAAUAGUUGAAUGACUUUUAAUAUAGUUUACCCAAAAAAGAAUAUUAACGGCGUCAAAUAGAAAAUGAGAAAACAAAUUUAAAACAAAGAUAAACAAAAUGAUGUACUUAACGAUGUUACUCCCUUCUUCUCCAACCAAAACGCCGUCGCUUUGUUCCUCAAACGUAAAACAUGGUGGGACCAUUUCCAACCAUAUUCUCAAUUUAUUAAUUAAUUUUUUAAAAUUAAUUUAUAAAUUCUAAAAUAUUUUAAUUAAGUUUUGAAAGUAUUAAUGUUAUAUCAAUAAAAUCAUUCUAUUUUUGUAGCUGUCAAUUUAGGUUUUAAAUUUCAGUUCUCAUUUGACAUGGAUUAAAUUGUAAAUACUUGUGUACUCAUCAUAUUGAUAACUUGAUUCUAACAUAUUAAAAACACGAAGAGAUUAUAAAAUUUAAGAGGAUUAUUUCUUCUUCUUCUUCUUUUUUUAACACAUUAGAUUAAACAAAAUGCACACUUUUAAGAUAUUAAAUUAAUGGAUUUUUAUAUUUGAUGUAUCAAAUAAUUAUAUUAUACACACAAUAAUAUCACUUCAUUAAAAAAAAUAAAAUUCACAUGCUGAUGUUGUUCUGGUCAAGGUUUUCAAAACUAGAUAGGUGGUCGAACCAAUCAUAUUAAUUGAUUUUUGGUCCAAUUUGUUUGUUCGAUUCAAUUGAAAUAGUUUAAUUUAAUUUAGGGUUUUUAGAUAUGGAAGUUUCAUAUUACAAUAAUUGAAUUUUGAAAAUUUUUAUAGAUUUUUUUAUAUUAUAUAUAUUAAUUUAUUUAAAAUGUUUUCAAAUUUAACUAAUCAUAGUUUGACAUGUGUCAUAUAUUAGUAAAAAUUGUCAACACCAAUCUUAAUUGUCCUUAUUUAUUCACCUUUGAAAACUACAUGGUUUCCAUUAAUCUGUUUUCACCGGCCUCAAAAAAUUGACAAUAGGAGAUUGCAAGGAGGUUGAUUUAGGAGGCAUGCAAUGGGAACCUCUUGGUUGGUGAUUGGUAAUAUUCCAAAGCUGGUGUCUCUCCCCCUUGGGCUUCAACAUCUUUUUCGAUUGAAAACAUUGGGAAUUCAUGAAUGCCAUGGAUUGAGGUCACUCUUACCUGUGUUCCAACAUCUCUCUUUCCUUGAAGAGUUUUCAAUAAGUAACUGCAAGGAGCUGGAGUUAUCUGCACCUAACUUCCAAAUAUUCCAAGAUCAUACAAGCCUGCGCUCUCUGGCGCUGGCAAAGAUUCCAAAGUGUCGCCAUCUUCCGGAGUGGCUUCAACAUCAAACAAAUCUGCCAAGGCUUAUUCUCUGUGAUUUGCCUAAUUUAACAUCGCUUCCGGACGAGAACCAGUUUGGAAGAGUUUUUUAUGAAACGAAUUCCUCAGUUGGAGGAAAGAUGUCGGAAGGGGAUUGGUGCCGAUUGGCAUAAGAUUGCUCAUAUCGCUACAGGUUGUUAUAUUGACUCUCCAACUACAGCCUCUUUUGCCAAAAUAGAACAAGCUUUUGGUGCAAUUUCUUCAUUUGUCAUUUUAUUUGGCUACUUUGUGCAGUAAGCAUCGAAGACUUUUAGUGAAACGAAUUUGGCAAUUUCAAGAAUUCAAAUGCAGAAAAAAAAAAGUGGUAAUCUAGCUAAUUGCUUUACGCUUUUAAAUUAUAUUAAUCUCAGCAUCGCAAUGAUCUGAUGAAAUCCUAUUGUGUAUACACAUUUGAAAAUGCAGCUUACACCAAAUACCAACAAGGAAUGACAGGUAAUUCAUGCCAUUCAUUUAUUUUCUAUUUGAUUCAAUAAAAUAAAAUUGAAUAAUUUAGAUUUAGUGUGAUGUAUUUUGGUGGUUCAUAUCUAUCAUUGUAGCGACCUAAAAAUUUGUCGAUGGGCGCUAAUCGAAUUGAUUGUUGAAAAUUUGAAAAUGGAAUUCCGAUUUCAUUUAAAAAGGGAGUCGCCACCGAUCUUUUUUCUAGGUGUGAUCGGACACCUAAUAAAUUCUCUUUUUUUAAAAGAAAAUUUAUUUUUCAAAUUUUCUGAAAAACAGUCAAUUUUAGGUCCACGUCAAAAUCCAGAGAAAAUUAGGGUUCGGGAGUCAGUUACGCGCGAGGAAGGUAUUAGCACCCUCGCGACGCCCAAAAUUGGUAUCUCGUUAAACGCGUGUUGUCUUCAUUUUCAAAAAUACGAGUUCAAUUUAAUAUUAGUCAUGAUUCAAUUGAAACAGGAGAAUUUUGAAACACAACAACCCUUUUUUUUGAAAACACGAAUUUUUUUUUAAAACGCAAGAAUUUUAGAAACACGAAAAAUUUUAAAAAAAAACACGAAAAAUUUGAAACACGAGAAUUUUUUCAAAACACGAAUUUUCUUUUUGAAACACAAAAAUUUUGAAAACACAAAAUUUUAUUUUGAAAACACAAAAUUUUAUUUUGAAAACACAAAAGAUUUUUUUUGAAAUACGGAAAUUUAUGAAACACGGUCAAUUUUUGAAAACACGAAAAUUUUUGAAAGACGGGAUUUUUUUUAAAAACACGAAAAUUUAUAAAACACGGAAAUUUUUUUCUGAAAACAAGAAAAUUUUCGAAAAACGAGAAUGUUUGAAAACACGGGAAAUUUUUGAAAACAUGAAAAUUUUUGUUACACUAGAAUUUUGAAAACACGAAGAUUUUUGAAACAUGAGGAUUUUUGAAAACACGAAGCUUUUUGAAACAUGAGAAUUUUUUGAGAACAUGAAAACACGAAAAUUUGUCAAACACGGGAAUUUUUUAAAAACACGAUAACAUCAAAGAGUAUUCAAGAGAGUUUUUUGAAACACGGAAUUUUUUUUUCGCAAAAAGUGAAGAUUUUUUGAAAUACGAGAAAUUUUUGAAGAUAUAAAAAUUUUUGAAACACGAUUUUUCUUUAAAAAAUACCGUAUUUAACACGAAUCGAUGAUAUUCAUCCCGAUAUGGCGAUGAAACCAUCGAAUUAGUGUUAACUCAAUUCAAUUUAACAUUUAAUCGGGAUUCUAUUAAAACACGAGAAAUUUUUAAAUACGGGGAUUUUUGAAUUUUUUUAUUUUUGAAAGGGCGUCCCGAAUUUAAUACGAGCUAUCGAUAUUCACCCAACAUAGCGAUGAAUUCGGCGACUCGAUGCUAAACCGAUUCGUUGCCUUAUUUAUUAAAAUAAUUUUUAUUUCAUUUUUUUAUUUGCAAAUAAAGCCACUCUAAUAUUACUAAAAAAACUAUUUAAAAUAUGCUAAUUAAAUUUAAAUGAAAUAAUAUUUAAAUAAAUGAAGCUAAAUUAAAAAAUUUAAGGAAAUUACCAAAAAGCCCCAAAGUGGUGGGCCCUUUUCUUUUUUCCUUUUUUUUCUUUUUUUUCUGCUGGAUGUCGGGCCUGGGCGUUGGGCCAAAGGGAGGCCUGCUUGGCCUGCUGCUGCUGAGCCUGGGGCUUGCUGCUGCUGGGCCUUCGCUGGGCCUGCGCAAAAGGGGCCUGCUUCCUUUUUCUCUUCUUCUGCUGGGCUGUUACUGCUAUUGGGCCUGCUGCUUAUUUUUUUUUCUGGUUCUUUUUUUUGCUUGGGCCUGGGUGUUUUGCUGCUGGAUCCUGCUGUUUGGAGAGGGCUGUUGGAGCGCGGGUCGGGUCGGGAUGGCUCCGAGGGUCGGGUGGUCGGGUCGGGUUGACCCGAUUGACUUUAAAAUUUUUUUUUUCUUUCUCUUUUUCUUUUUUCUUUUUCUUCUCCCUUUUUCUUCUUCUUUUUUCUUUCUUCUUUCUUCUUCUUCGGGCCGCACCUUAACCCCACGUGCGCCUUUGAGGGCGUUUCCUCCACCUGGUACGACGGCCGGUGGUGGCACGGUGGCGAUGAAGGGACGACUGGGCUUUCUUUUUGGACCUUUUUUUUGCUUUUUUUCUUGUUUUUUUGCUGCUGCGUUUUUGUUUUGCUUCUCUUUUUGUUUCAAUUUCUCUUGGCUUCUAGGUGGUGGUACGGUGGCUGCGGUGGCGGGUAGUGGCACGACGGCGGCGAGGGCUGUUGGGCUGUUAUUGUUUGGAUUUUUUUUUGAAUUUUCUCUGCACUUUUUCUCCUUUUUUUUUUCGAUUGCCCCCCCUUCUUCUCUUCCAUUUUCCUCUUUUAAUCUUACCAUUUUUGGCUUCUAUUCCUUUGUCUGCAGGUGGCUAGGGGAAGGAAGGCCAUGCAUUGGGGGUGGCAGGCGUGGCAAGCGGGGCACGCAAGAAUGCUGGUUGGGGGCAGUCUUGUCAUGCCCAGAAGGACCAAAAUGUAAAGGGUGUAAAAUUUCCAGGGUAAAAAUGUAAUUUCAGGAAAAUAUGGGGCCAAAAUGUAAAUUUUGAAAAGUUCGAGGGCUAAAAUGCCAUUUAUUUUUUUGUAUUUUUUUAAAUUUUAUUAUGACUAUUUAAUUAAUAUUUAAAAUUAUUAUAAAAAUAAAAAUAAAAAUGGGCUAAAGCCCAAACAAGCUUAAAAUCUAAUUACUUAAAACCCAAUUACCCAAACCCCAAAGGCCCAACCAUUGGACCCAAUCAUUAAGCCCAAAUGAGGCCAAUCCCACAAAAUUAUUUAAAAAAAAACAUAUAUAUAAAAUGAAAUAAAAUAAAAAAAAACACGAACUACAGACCGGACAAAAUUCAGUGAUUACAAUAAUUUCAUAGCUUCUAAUACUUUAAUUCUAAAAAAUCUUUAUUGGUACCCAAUGGACAUUUUCCAAAAUGCUUGCAUGCCAGCCUUCAAUAUGCUUCUACUUCAUGCUCUGCUUUGUUCAUUUUCCAAUUUUAAAUCUUAAUCAUAUGUAUAUACAAUUUUAUGUUUUAUCUUGAAAUUUUUGAUCUUUUUACCCUUAUUUUUGUUAGCUUUUGGCUCUAUUCUUCUGCAGAGCAUAGCAUGCAAUACAAAAAGCAGAGACCAUAUUUUCUACCCUCAUAUGUUUAUCUGCCCACAUAUUCGAUUGGCGUGUAUUUUUCUGAAAGGCAUUUGACAACUUUAAGAAUUUAGAUGCAGGCAAAUAGGUGGUAAUUACUUAAUUGCUUUACAUUUUUAAAAUCAUAAUAAUCUCAUAAUUUCAAAUGAUCUAAUAUAACCUCGUAACUAAGCUGCUUCCUUUUCAGCAUGAGUUCAAUGGAAGAGCCAAAAAGCAGGACAUGCAUUCUUCAUCAGCUGAUCUGUCCAUGGUAUUGUGUGUUGAAAGGUCAACAAAGGUAGGAAGCAACUUGUUAAAAAGGUUGAGCAAGUUGCACCGAAUGUUGAAAAGUUGAAUGGGAUAAUUGCAAUUUUGGUCCCUAAUUUUUUAGGCCAUUUGCAAGUUAGUCCCUGAACUUCAACUAUAAAUAGGCCUUUUCAUUUUUCAUUUCAACAAUCCCAACCAAUCUUUCUCUCUUAGUUUUCUCUCUUCUCCCAUUUGAGAAUUCUUAAGGAAUUCUAUUUGUUUGUAAUAUUUUGAAGAUAGUAAAGUUAUCAUCUGGUGUUAGUGCCCGAGGACGUAGGUAUAAUUUACCGAACCUCGUUAAAACUCUUGUGUUCUUUCUUGUCCUAUUUUUCUUUCAAUAUUUGAGGGUAUAAUAGUAGUAUUUAAUUGUGCUAUUAAAUUACUAUAGAAGGGAUAUUCUGACUAAGGAAAGACUUGGUAUUUAAGAGAUCCAUGUGAUCCACCUCUCUUCCCUGGGAAUUGAACUUUGUGUGAUUUUUUAGUACAAUAAUUUACACGCUUCCGACCCUAUUGGAACAAAAAGUGGUAUCAAGAGCCGAAGGUUAAGCGUAGUAUGCUCUGUGGUUGCAGUUUAAACUGAUCUUCCACAUCAGAAAAGAUUUCCUUAGGUAUAUUGAAAGAUUAUGGAGAAAACGGUCGGUGUAGGAGCUUCAACAUCGUCCAUGUGGACAAGACCGACAAUUGCAAAUGCAAGACUGGCCGUGGAGAUCUUUGAUGGCACAGGCCAUUUUGGUAUGUGGCAAAGUGAGGUUCUAGAUGCCCUUUUUCAGCAGGGUCUAGACAUUGCCAUUGAUGAAGAGAAACCAGAUGAUGUACAGGAGAAAUAUUGGAAGGCGAUCAAUCGGUUGGAAUGUGGCACAAUUCGAUCAUGCCUUUCUCGAGAGCAGAGGUAUGCUUUUUCAAAGGAGACUUCUGCAAAUAAGUUGUGGGUGGCACUUGAAGAAAAUUUUUUGAAGAAAAACAGUCAAAAUAAGCUCCACUUGAAGAAAAGACUGUUUCGCUUCACAUACGUCCCAAGUACCAGAAUGAAUGAUCACAUCACCAAAUUUAAUCAGUUAGUCACUGAUUUGCUGAAUAUGGAUGAGACAUUCAAAGAUGAAGAUUUGGCUUUGAUGCUGUUGGGGUCACUUCCUGAGGAGUUUGAGUUCCUAGAAACUACUCUACUUCAUGGCAGGAGUGAUAUAUCUCUGAGCGAAGUCUGUGCGGCCUUAUACAGUUAUGAACAGAGAAAGAAGGACAAACAGAAAAACUCAAUCAGAGAUACAGAAGCUUUAGUAGUCCGAGGUCGUUCAUACACUCGGAAGAAAACUCAAAAGGGGAGAUCAAAGUCAAAGUCCAGACUCGGGAAAGAUGAAUGUGCUUUUUGUCAUGAGAAAGGCCACUGGAAGAAAAAUUGUCCAAAGCUGAAGAAUAAGGGAAAAGCUGUUGUAGAUGCUUGUGUUGCAAAGCAUGAUACUAGUGACUCUGAACUAUCACUGGUUGCAUCAUCAUCGUCGUUCCAUUCAGAUGAGUGGAUAUUGGAUUCGGGUUGUACCUAUCAUAUGUCCCCUAACCGGGAGUGGUUCUUUGAUUUAGUAGAACUAAAUGGAGGAGUUGUUUAUAUGGGCAAUGACAAUACCUGUAAAACUGUUGGGAUAGGUUCAAUCCAAUUAAAGAAUCAAGAUGGAUCAACCAGAGUUCUGACUGAUGUUCGGUACGUGCCCAGUUUGAAGAAAAAUCUCAUCUCAUUGGGAGCCUUGGAAUCCAAUGGUUCAGUUGUUACUAUGAGAGAUGGGAUUUUGAAAGUGACAUCUGGCGCACUUGUGAUAUUGAAGGGCAUCAGGAAAAAUAACUUGUAUUACUACCAAGGUAGUACAGUUAUUGGAGCAGUCGCUACAGCUUCCGGUAACAAAGAAUUGGACUCAAUGCAGUUGUGGCAUAUGAAGUUGGGACAUGCCAGCGAAAAAUCCUUACAAAUUCUGGCAAAGCAAGGAUUGUUGAAAGGUGCAAAGGCUUACAAAUUAAAAUUUUGCGAGCAUUGUGUUCUGGGAAAGCAAAAGAGAGUGAAAUUCGGUACUGCUAUCCAUAAUACAAAAGGUAUUUUGGAAAAUGUUCACUCAGAUGUGUGGGGGCCUUCCAAGACACCUUUAUUGGGAGGAAAACACUACUUUGUUACUUUUGUUGAUGACUUUUCCAGAAGAGUUUGGGUGUAUACCAUGAGAACUAAGGAUGAAGUGCUUAAAGUUUUUCUUAAAUGGAAAACUAUGAUCGAAAACCAGACUGGCAAGAAAAUCAAGCGGCUUAGGACGGACAAUGGAGGGGAAUAUAAAAGUGAUCCGUUCUUCGAUGUGUGCCAAGAGUAUGGUAUUGUUCGACACUUCACAGUUAGGGAUACACUACAGCAGAAUGGAUUGGCAGAGCGUAUGAAUCGAACAUUGCUUGAGAAAGUUCGAUGUAUGUUGUCCAAUGCUGGGUUAGGCAAGCAAUUUUGGGCUGAGGCUGUGACAUACGCUGGCCAUCUUGUUAAUCGUUUGCCAUCAUCUGCAUUAGAAAGAAAAACUCCUAUGGAGGUAUGGUCUGGAAAACCGGCUACAGAUUAUGAUUCCUUACAUGUGUUUAGAUCCACUGCAUAUUACCAUGUGAAGGAGUCAAAGUUAGAUCCGAGGGCAAAGAAAGCUCUCUUUAUGGGAAUCACUUCUGGAGUGAAGGGAUUUCGUCUUUGGUGCUUAAGCACAAAGAAAAUGAUCUGUAGCAGAGAUGUUACCUUUGAUGAAUCUGCCACAUUGAAAAAGGUAGCAGAUAAAGAUAUUCAGACGAGCAAUACUCCACAACAGGUGGAGUGUACUCCAAAACAGGUGGAGUUUGAGCAGAUGGGGAUUUGCCCAGUUAAUAAGUCUAAUUCUCCAGCCACAAUGGAGGAAUUAGAGGUUGAAGAGGUUCUGACCCAAGAACCACUAAGUACACCAGAACCAGUUGCAGUUGCAAGGCCACGGAGAGAAAUUCGUAAACCUGCUCGAUUUACUGAUAUGGUGGCCUACGCCCUUCCCGUUGUUGAUGAUAUUCCUAUCACUUAUCAAGAAGCAAUGCGAAGCUUAGAAAGUGAUAAAUGGAAAAGUGCCAUGGAUGAAGAAAUGCAGUCUCUCUUGAAGAAUAAUACUUGGGAAUUGGCGCAAUUACCGAAAGGUAAAAGGGCAAUCGGAUGCAAGUGGGUAUUCGCAAAGAAAGAUGGAUCUCCUAGCAAGAAGGAUAUUCGCUACAAGGCAAGAUUGGUAGCUAAAGGCUACGCUCAGAAGGAGGGAAUUGACUACAAUGAUGUAUUUUCCCCUGUUGUGAAACAUUCCUCCAUUAGAAUUUUGUUGGCCUUGGUAGCACAGUUGAAUUUGGAGCUAGCUCAACUUGAUGUUAAGACGGCUUUCUUGCAUGGUGAGUUAGAAGAGGAGAUCUAUAUGACUCAGCCCGAAGGAUACACAGAUGCUGGUGGUAGAAAUUGGGUUUAUAAGCUGAACAAAUCGCUAUAUGGAUUGAAGCAAUCCCCGAGGCAGUGGUACAAGCGAUUUGAUAGCUUUAUGAGAAGGCAGAAGUACACAAGAAGCAAAUAUGACAAUUGUGUAUAUUUGCAGAAGCUGCAUGAUGGAUCUUUCAUUUCUCUACUCUUGUAUGUUAAUGAUAUGUUAAUCGCUUCGAAGAGCCAAAAUGAGAUAGAUAAGCUGAAGGCUCAGUUGAAUCAAGAGUUCGAGAUGAAAGAUCUAGGUGAGGCCAAGAAGACUCUCGGCAUGGAGAUAAGUAGAGAUAGACCGAGAGGCAAACUCUGUUUAAAUCAGAAGUAAUAUCUGAAAAAGGUAUUACAAUGUUUUGGUGUAAAUGAAAACACAAAACAUAUAAGUACCCCACUUGCUUCUCAUUUGAAACUUAGUGCUCAAUUAUCUCCGAAGACUGAAGAUGAAAGAGAAUAUAUGGCGAAAGUCCCAUAUGCUAAUGCAGUUGGGAGUUUGAUGUAUGCGAUGGUGUGUACGAGGCCUGACAUUUCACAAGCUGUUGGAGUUGUGAGCAGGUAUAUGCAUGAUCCUGGAAAAGGACAUUGGCAAGCUGUGAAAUGGAUUCUACGGUAUCUUCGAAAAACCGUAGAUGUUGGUUUAAUUUUUGAACAGGAUGAAGCACUUGGUCAGUUUGUAGUUGGAUAUGUUGAUUCCGACUUUGCUGGUGAUUUAGAUAAACGUCGUUCAACUACGGGGUAUCUGUUUACUCUUGCGAAAGCCCCAGUGAGUUGGAAGUCUACCUUACAGUCUACAGUAGCUGUGUCUACUACAGAGGCAGAAUAUAUGGCAGUUACAGAAGCUGUUAAGGAGGCUAUUUGGCUUAAUGGAUUAUUGAAAGACUUGGGAGUUGUUCAAAGUCACAUUAGUCUAUAUUGUGACAGUCAGAGUGCUAUUCAUUUAGCGAAAAAUCAAGUCUAUCAUUCAAGAACCAAGCAUAUCGACGUAAGAUAUCACUUUGUGCGGGAAGUCUUUGAAAAAGGAAAAAUUCUACUUCAGAAGAUUCCGACAGCAGAUAAUCCCGCAGAUAUGAUGACCAAAGUGGUAACAACAAUCAAGUUUAAUCAUUGUUUGAACUUGAUUAACAUCCUGAGAAUUUGAGCACCUACAGGUGUAUGGCGCUCGAGAGCGCAUUUAGAGGCACUACAAAAGAUAACUUUAUCGAAUUUGGGGAGUUGAAGGAAGUGUGUGAAGAUGUGAUUAUCCUAAUCAAAUCUUCAAGGUGGAGAUUGUUGAAAGGUCAACAAAGGUAGGAAGCAACUUGUUAAAAAGGUUGAGCAAGUUGCACCGAAUGUUGAAAAGUUGAAUGGGAUAAUUGCAAUUUUGGUCCCUAAUUUUUUAGGCCAUUUGCAAGUUAGUCCCUGAACUUCAACUAUAAAUAGGCCUUUUCAUUUUUCAUUUCAACAAUCCCAACCAAUCUUUCUCUCUUAGUUUUCUCUCUUCUCCCAUUUGAGAAUUCUUAAGGAAUUCUAUUUGUUUGUAAUAUUUUGAAGAUAGUAAAGUUAUCAUCUGGUGUUAGUGCCCGAGGACGUAGGUAUAAUUUACCGAACCUCGUUAAAACUCUUGUGUUCUUUCUUGUCCUAUUUUUCUUUCAAUAUUUGAGGGUAUAAUAGUAGUAUUUAAUUGUGCUAUUAAAUUACUAUAGAAGGGAUAUUCUGACUAAGGAAAGACUUGGUAUUUAAGAGAUCCAUGUGAUCCACCUCUCUUCCCUGGGAAUUGAACUUUGUGUGAUUUUUUAGUACAAUAAUUUACACGCUUCCGACCCUAUUGGAACAACAUUGUGCUCCCCUAAAUCCUCCUCUCUAUGCACAUUUGUUCUUUCUUUUUCUUUGUUGAAGAGUCGAUCUGUAUGCAUUCUUCAUCAGCUGAUCUUACUGUAUUGUUUCUCCAAAACAAUAGGGAAAGAAAAGGGAAAGAGACUUACUGUUCUUUGUCAAGCUCAGAGGUUCAUUUGAAAUUUUAGAGGAUUUAGGUAAAACUAUUAAAUUCAAAAAAUAGUCCCAUUUAAAAUAUGAGUCGAGCUUGAAUUUGAAUAUUUAAAGCCUAAGUUUGGCCCGACCCAAUUUUUAAGUUUGCAAUAUUUUAUAUUAUGUUAAUUUUAUAUGUUAUGUAAUUUGUAACAAAUAAAAAUAAAAAUUAUAAUACUAUUAUAAUCUUAAGAUGACUAUAUAUAAAAUUUUAAUAAAAAUGUAAAAAUAUUAAAUAUUAAGUUAAAAAUAAUAUAAAUUCAUUUAAAUUUUUUUAAAAAUAGUAUGAGUGGAUUUAAAAUGAGUUUGAGUUAACUGUUUACAAAUUUGAACAGACUUUAAGUUUAUAUUUUGGACCAGGCUGAACCUAAACAAAUAUAAAAUAAAAUAUAAAUAUUUUCAUUUUUUUAAAUUCUCUAUUAUAUUUUGGCAUAAUGAUUUAUUUAACCUUCUAAAUUUAUGAAAAAAUCAAUUUAGUCCUUAAACUUGCAUGGCAUACACAUGGAUGCCACAUUAGCAAUUAACUAAUGUUCUAAAUAUAAAAAUUUUAAAAAAGUAUACAACUUAUUAAAAGUUUUAAAAAGUAUAAAAAUUAUUAAAAACUAUUUUAAAUUUUUAAAAAAAAAUUAAUCAAUUGCUAAUGUAGCAUACACAUUGGCUUCCAUGUGGAAGCCACAUCAGCAAAGUUAAUAAUUUAGUAUAAGAAAAUCUUUUAUGUCCAGUUUGGUGCAAUAAAAUCAAGUGAUAUUAGUUUAAUUCGAUUAUAUUUUUUUAUCCAUCCAUUAUAAUUUAGUUUAGUACGAUUUUUUAUUAUAAAUUUUUAUAAUUAUUUUAAUAAAAUAAACUUUAUUUUACGGCUUUUAAAUAUCAUUUGACAAAUUUUCAAAGUUUUUUUCAUAGAUUUUUUUAAAAUUAUUUUAAGUAGAUAAAAAUAAUUAAAUACUUUUUAACCCAUUUUGGAUGGUUUGACAAAAAAAUAUAAGUUCAAAGACUAAAAGAAAAUGAAAGUAAAUAGAGAGCUAAAAUAAUUCUUUUAUAAAGUUGGAAUGCCAAAAAAGUUAUUAUACUUUCAUUUUUCAAAAUAAUUAAUAAACACUUUAAACAUAAGUGCAUCUACAUUUGCUUCGUGAUUGUUCUUUCUAUAAAUUCACGAUAAUCAAGUUAAACAAGUAAUUUAGUGAGGUUAAGUAUUGUAACAGUGAGAUUAAAGUUAAUUGUAGAAUAUGUAUUUGAAUUCAAAUGUAAAUAUAUCGAUAAAAUGAGAAUAAAAAAUCACUAUUAAAGCGGAAUUAGAUGCCCUCAUCGAUGGUUUUUGGCGGCUUGCUCAAUUUCUUAAAGCCAAUAAUGUCAUUUUUGAAACAGAUUGUGCUAGCAUUGUCAACCGCUUUAGUUUUCACAAGGAGGACAUAACGAUCGUUGAUCACUGCAUCAAGGAGCUCACAAAAUGCUUAAUUCUUUUGUUUCUUUCGAGGUCAAAUGGGUGAAACGUGGUUAUAACAAAUUAGCCGAUUCUCUUUGUAAUUGGGCUCUUUCUAAGUGUAGUAAUUUAUCUUUUGAGAUGAAUUAUCCUAACGAUCGAUAUUCAUAACGUUGUAAUUUAUGAUGCAACUUAAAAUGAGAUAGUGACCUUUGGGUUUUUUUUAUAAAAAAAACAGUAUUAAAUAUAUUAAGUUAAAAUACAUGUAUAUGUAAAAUAAAUGAUUAAAAAUAUAUUUAAAAAUAAAAUAUCUUAAAUAAACAAAUCAAAAUCAUUCAACUCACAAUAAAACAAUUAUAUGUGUAUUAAAAUAAUUAAAUAGAUAUGAGCAGUGGAAGCAAUCUUCAUGAUGGUAUUAAGUAAUGAUUUUUCCUUCAAUACCAAUUAAAUACACAUUCCCAUGGAGCUGACAUAAACCCAAUAUCUUUCCACAUGUUGUACAUGUUCAAAAACGAAAUUAAUUUUUCUUUUGUUGGCAAUAGUAGCCGAGCUAAAAAUUUUUUUACUCGGAAUUAAAUUAUAUAUUUUUAUAGUAAUGUAUUUUUAUAAUUUUUAAAGAGUUAAAUUAAAUUUUUAUAAUUUUUUUAGAUGAUCAAAUUAUAAUUUUAUCACUAUUAAUUUAAAAUUUUAUAAAUUAUAAAAUGUCUAAAUUAAAAAUUUAUCAUUUUAGGAGUCUCUACUAGGCUUCGCAGGUGAUAGCGCAACUUGUCAAGAAUGACCAUCCAAGCUAUAACAAAAUGUUUUGGGAUAUGCUAAAUCAACCUCUUACAUUUUACUUUGAUAUAUUACAUAGACAAGCAAUUAUAUUAAUCCAAUGUAAAAAAAUAUAUGUAUGCAUUUUUUUUACAUAUGUACAGUUGAAUCAGAAUUAAAAUUAAUAGCAAAUAUAAUUAACAUACCCAUUAAUAUAAAAAGAUUUAAUAAUAAGGGUAUACUAAAAUAGUAAUGAACAGUAACUAUUGUCGUAAUAUAUAAUUAUAGACACCAAGUUACUUUAAAAGACAAAAUCAAAGCUAAGUAGGUAGGUGAGAAAUGUGAACAUGAUAAUCACUUGUAAGUUAAUUGAAUUCGAUUCAAAAAAGAUUUAAAUUUGAUUUAGUAGUCAUUAAGUUAUGUUUAAAUUAUUGAUUUAAUCGGAUUGGGAUUUAAUAAAAUUUGAUUCUAAUGGUGAAUGAGUUUUAUUGAAUUUUUUAUUUUAUAUAUUCAACCAAAGUUAAACUCAAAAAUAAAAUAUUGAAUUUAAGUUAAACUCGCGCAAUUACACAAAGUAAGUGGGAAGAAGGUUUAGAAAGGCUUCAAUCAAAACACCUUGGAUUCCAUGGGAUUUGUCGCCUUUUUCUCUUUUCUUUCGUAGCCUUUUCAUUAAUUUCAAUUAUUUGUACGGCUCCACAUUGUGCAGAGCAUUGAGAAAUUUCUCAUCAUCCCAACUUUGUCUCCAUUCAGAAAUUUGUGUCACAUGGAGGGACAUUUCCCACCAAUCAACAUGACUUUAACUUGGAGGGACCAUUUCCCACCAAUCAACAUGACUUUUUAUUUAAUUAUACUACUUGCUGGGUGGAUGGAUCCACAUCUGUGCUUCAUCUUGUUGGAAUCAUUCUCAUUUUAGUUCUCCUCUUUCACGAAUCAAACACUUUUUGCCUUGAUUUCAGUUUGAACCAACCAUGGCCGAAGCAAUUGCUUCCGUCAUUGCCGCAGAGCUCAUUAUUAAGUUGAGCUCUCGUGCUCUCUCUCAAGUUGGGCUGUGGUGGAAUCUCAAACAUGACAUCCACGAUCUCAGACGCACUGUCUGUCAAAUCAAAGCUGUGCUUCUUGACGCAGAAGAGAAAUCGGUGACCGACAAUCUCGUCAAAGUUUGGCUUGAAGAGCUGAAAGAUGUACUUUAUGAGGCCGACGACUUGCUCGAUGAUUUCUCUACUGAAGCUUUGCGGAAAGAUGUAUCGGGUGGGAACAAGCUGACGAAAGAGGUACGCCUUUUCUUCUUAACCUCAAACCAAUUUGCUUAUGGUCUCAAAAUGGGUCGGAAAAUGAAGGCCAUUAAGGCGAGAUUAGCUUCAAUUGAAAGGGAGGCCAACACUUUUGGCUUCAUUCCUCGUGAUCGCCCCGCGGAAACCUCUUUCAUGACAAAAAGGAGGCAGCAAACGCACUCUUUUGAGCUUGAAGAUGACAUAAUAGGGAGGGAUGAUGAUAAAGCAGCUCUUCUAAAACUCGUGUUGGAGUUUCAAAGUGAAGAGAAUGUUUAUGUCAUUCCAAUUGUGGGGUUUGGAGGGUUAGGGAAGACUGCUUUGGCCCAACUUGUCUAUAACCAUGAAAUGGUCAAAAAUCAUUUCGACUUAACGAUGUUUGCGUGUGUUUCAGAUGAUUUUGAUGUGAAAGUUAUUGUAGCAAACAUUAUCAAAUCUGUGACUAAUCAAGCACCUGAUCAAAAUCUUGAAAUGGAUCAAUUGCAAAAACAACUUCGAGAUAAAAUUGAUGGGAAAAAAUAUUUGCUUGUUUUGGAUGACAUUUGGAAUCAGGACCCAGAGAAGUGGUCUAGGCUAAAGAAGUUAUUGAUGGGUGGGGCUAAAGGGAGUAGGAUAAUAGUAACUACUCGAUCUCUAAGGGUAGCGGAGAUAAUUAAUAAAUGUCAAUCCCAUGUUUUGAAAUUGAAAGGCUUGUCUGAUGAUGAUGCUUGGUCUUUGUUCAGAAAGAUAGCAUUUGAACAAGGAUAUGCAGACUCAACAAAUUCAGCCUUUGUGGAAGUAGGGAAACAGAUUUCGGAAAGGUGUGGUGGGGUUCCCUUAGCCAUAAGGACGAUAGCUGGUACAUUAUCUUUGAAGAAAACUGCAAAUGAGUGGCAUUCUUUCAAAGAAAAUGAACUUGCUAAAAUAUCACAAAUUGAAGGAGAACUUCUACCUAUACUGAAAUUGAGUUAUGAUCAUCUCCCGUCUCAUUUGAAGCAUUUCUUUGCUUAUUGCCGAUUGUAUCCAAAAGAUUACAGAAUUAAAGUACAAGAGCUUGUUCAAAUUUGGAUUGCACAGGGUUUCAUAAAGCAAUUGAAUCAAAGUCAAUCUCUGGAGGAGAUCGGGUUUGGGUAUUUUAAAGAUUUAGUUGAAAUAAGUUUCUUCCAAGAAGUAGGAGAAAGAUAUUCAAGGGAAGGGCUAACAUGUAAAAUGCAUGAUUUAAUGCAUGAUGUAGCUGAAUCAGUAGCAGGGAUGGAGAGUAGUAUUGUAGAUUCAAAUAAAAUUGCAAGUGAUGUUGGUGAAAAAUGGCGACACAUAUCAAUUAAACCUUCAUUAAUUCCUUUGUUUAAGGGAAAGAAGUUGCGAACCUUGUUACAUUUUCAAGACAAAAUAAGUCAAGAUUUCAGCUAUGAAACUUGGGAUUUGAUAAUUGCAAAUUGUAGAUGCUUGCGUGUAUUGAAAUUGAAUUCUAUAGGUAUUCAAAAGAUUUCACCCUCCAUUUGUAAGUUGAAACAUUUGAGGUACCUUGAUCUUUCUUGGAAUUUCAAUAUUAAGAUUCUCCCAGAGAGUAUUUGCAAGAUUCAGAAUUUGCUAGCGCUGAAACUUGAUGGGUGUGAUGGGCUUAAAGAAUUGCCAAAGAAGAUUGAAAAAUUGGUGAAUCUUACCCAUCUUGAGUGUGAACAUUGUAUUAGUUUAACUCAUAUGCCACGUGGAAUAGGGAAGCUGACUUCACUUGAGACGUUAAGCAUGUUUGUAGUGGAUAAAGAUGGGUCCCAUGGCGGUGCAGAUCUAAGUGAAUUGAGACUGCUUAACAACUUAAGGGGAGGGUUAGGAAUAACAAAUUUGGGAUUCGUAAAAAAUGCAAAAGAGAAGUUUAAGGCUGCUAAUUUGAAAGAGAAGCAACAUUUGAGAUGGUUGGGUUUACAAUGGAAAUUUGAUUCUGAUGAUGAAGAUGAUGAUGAUGAUGAUGAUGAGAAGUCACUUGAAGACCUCCAGCCCCAUCCUAAUCUCAAGGAGCUCUGUAUUGAAAGAUGGAGGGGUGAUGCCAAGUUUCCAAGUUGGCUUCCUUUGCUCACAAAUCUCGUCAAAAUUUUCACAAGUGGUGGUAAUUUCAGACAAAUCCCGUCCUUUGCGCAAUUUCCUUGUCUUAAAGGGCUGACUAUAGAUGAUUGUACUAAGCUGGAGUACAUGGAUGAUAAUAGCCCAAAAGGAAGUCAAGGAGAACCACAAUCAUUCUUCCCAUCACUGAAGCAUCUUUCGCUCUGGAACUGUCCGAAUAUGAAGAGUUGGUGGAGGACGACAAAACCAAUCGAUGAUGAUUCCAACGAGGACGACACAACAGUUAUGGGAACAUCAACCAUGGCAUUUCCUAGUCUUUCCUCUUUAGGCAUUCAAAAUUGCCCUUUAAUUUUAAUGCCACUGUAUCCAUCACUCGAUGAAGGUCUAAUGUUGUUCUAUACCAGUUCAAGGCCGUUAAAGCAGACUAUCAAAAUGAACAUCAAUGCUAAGGCCCCAUCAACUUCAACCUCUUCUCUUCCACUCUCCAAAUUGAAAUCUUUCCAUGUAUACAACAUUGAGGGGUUGGACACUCACACGCUAGAUGAGUGCCUGCAACAUCUCACCAGCCUCAAAAGAUUAACAAUAAGAGAUUGCAAGGAGGUUGAUUUAGAGGGCAUGCAAUGGGAACCCCUUAAGAAUCUCUCUCAUUUGGAGAUUGAUAAUAUUCCAAAGCUGGUGUCUCUCCCCAUUGGGCUUCAACAUCUUGUUCAAUUGAAAACAUUAAAAAUUCAUAACUGCAAUGGAUUGAGGUCACUUCUUCCUGUGUUCCAACAUCUCACUUCCCUUGAAGACUUUUUAGUAAUGGACUGCAAGGAGCUGGAGUUAUCUGGGGCUGGCAUCCAAAUAUUCCAAGAUCAUACAAGCCUACGCUUUCUACAGCUGCAAAAUAUUCCAAAGUGUCGGCAUCUUCCGGAGUGGCUUCAACAUCUAACAAAUCUGCAACGGCUUUUUCUCGUUAAUUUGCCCAAUUUAACAUCUCUUCCGCACCAGAUGCAUUGCCUAACCAGUUUGAAGUAUUUACACAUACAAGAAAUUCCUCAGUUGGAGGAAAGAUGUCGGAAGGACAUUGGCGCUGAUUGGCAAAAGAUUGCUCACAUCCCCAACAUUUGGUUGAAUCAGGUUGGUCUGUCUUUGUUAUUUAUUUAUUAUGAUGACCUUAUCUUUUUUUGAAGAAAAAUAAGAGUGGUAUAUUGAAUCUCCAAGUGAGGGGUCUGAUGCCAUUUUUCAUUGAAGUUGGAUACUGUUAAUUUCCUUGUUAAAAUCCCUUUGUUUUAAUCCUACUUUUUACUUAUCAUCUUUCAUAAUAUUUUUGGUGAUUUGUGCAUUAAGGCAUUGGAGAAAGGCAUUAGUCAACUUCAAUAAUUUUUUAUGCAUAAAAAGAGGUGCUAAUUUAUCUAUUUGCUUUUUACUUUUAAGUCAUAAUAAUAACUUGACAAUUGCUUCUAAUAAUUUAAUUCUAAAAAAUCAUUGAUGUGGUUGUAUUAUAUGUAUUUAUAUAUAUAUUUAUGUUUAUAUAUAUUUAUGUUUUCUCUUAAUAUAUGCCAACUGAGUAUUAUCUUGGAUGGUACCUGUGAUAUUGACAGGCUUUUGGAGGUAUUCAAAUUCAUAAUAUUCAUUGAUGCAGGGCACUCUUUUAGCUGUUUAGAAUUCCAGCCAAAUUUGUUAUUGAAGGUCCAAACAAGAAAAAAAGGAAGAUGCUUCAGAUGUAUAAUUAAGUGUUUGAGGGGUUAAGCUUAAAUCAUUUCUUUGUACUAUGAAGUUCAUAGUGGAUUCAUCUUUGGGCAAAGCCCCGCAGACGUAGGACGAGUUUCGAACUGCGUAAACAUCUUAAUUGUGUUCUUUAUUUUUCUUGUUGCAUAAUAUAUACCAACUCAAGAAAACACACAUUUUUAAUGUUCCAAAUAGUAUUCAAAUGCAGGGAUGCACAAUUGAUUAUGAGACAAUAAUUGUUUUAGACGGAAUUCCAAGGCUAUGUUCAAUUAUGAUGCUUGGACUAGGACUCUUCCAAAAGAUGUCGAUGUCCUGGCUGUAUAUACAUGACUUGUGUGUUGAUGCUUAUGUUGGCACACCAAAUUAUAAGUUGAACAACACCUUAUAAAGGCCUAUCAUGGCACAAGCCAAUAUUACAAGCUGAAGCUUUGGCUCUUGUUAUGUUCUGCCCCGAGUAAAUUUUUUAAAGAGAAAUUUUUUAAUUCAUUCAAUGAAUAAAUGAAAAAUUCAAAGAAAAAAAUAACAAAUACUCGUAUGCGUUAGAUAAUAAUAAAAAUUUAUUAUUUUGUAACUUUUCAUAAUUAGGUAAAAGAAAUUACUAAUAAUUUGGUGAUCAUUUUGUAACUUUUUAACUAGUUGAAUGACUUUUAAUAUAGUUUACUCAAAAAAGAAUAUUAGCGGCAUCAAAUAGAAAACGAGAAAACAAAUUUAAAAUAAAGAUAAACAAAACGAUGUACUUAACGACGUUACUUCCUUCUUCUCCAACCAAAACACCGUCGCUUUGUUCCCCAAACGUAAAAUAUGGUGGGACUAUUUCCAACCAAACAACAUUAUUUUCAUUUAAUAAUAAAUGUGUUAUAAUUAUUUAUAUUCAUAUAAGAAGUUAUUUGUAUUAAAUAUUCUCAAUUUAUUAAAUAUUGUUUUAGAAUUAAUUUGUAAAUUUUAAAAUAUUUUAAUUAAGUUUUGAAAGUAUUAAUAUUAUAACAAUAAAAUCAUUUCAUUUUUGUAGCUAUCAAUUUAGAUUUUAAAUUUCUGUUCUCAUUUGACAUGGAUUAAAUUGUAAAUACUUGUGUACUCAUCAUAUUGAUAACUUGAUUCUAACAUAUUAAAAACACGCUGAGAUUAUAAAAUUUAAGAGGAUUACUUCUUCUUCUUCUUUUAACAAAUUAGAUUCAAGUUGCCUAUAUAGCAUGGACACAUGUGUUUUAAGUAUGUCCCCUAUCAUAUUUGAGCGAACAUUUAAUGCUCAGGCUAAUGGCUAAGUUAAUAGGAAAAUGGGAUAAAUCUCAAAACUACAUAUAAACUUUGGCAUAACAUAUAAUUUUAUACAUGAAAUUUUAAUUUGAUCUAAUUUUCAUAAAUUAUUAAUAGGGCAUCAUUUUAUGUUUAUAUAUUGUGUAAAUAAAUAAUUAUAUUUAUCCACUACAAAAAUAAAUUGAUGUAUCUAUUUCUUUAAAUACCUCGCAUAUUAAAAUAUAGACAUCACAAAUUCGACUAAUGGAUCAUAGGGCAAAGUCGACUAGUGCGAGGUUUGUAGGAACAUGUAGUUACAUUAUAGCUACUUAGUUGCGAACAAGCAUGAUCAAAGAUAAAUUGUGACUUUCAUUGAAGCAUACAAUAUUCUUUUAACUGUGAUUUCUUUUUCAUAGCAUGAGUUAGACAAUAGUUUGAUUAUUUUAACCCUUUUACUUAAGCUUAUUAUAAAUUUAACAUCCAUAAGUGUUCAAGUCUAUUUUUAUUUUUUAUUUUACUUUUUUAUAUAUUUUUUCUUUCUCAUAUAUAUUGAUUAUAGAUUCGCUCAUGAUAUUGCUUCAAUAGAAGGAACUCCUAAAAGCUUCAAAAAGUUAGUGAGAGCUUACCCCUAUAUAUUUAUAAAAAAAAAUAUGAACAUAAAAAUAUUUAAAUUUUAAAUUUUACACAAUCCGAAAAUACAAAAACUAAAGAGAAUAUGAAAACUAUUAAUAUGUGCUAACCAAAUUAAAUAAAUACGAAAUUAAAUUCACAUACGGUGGCCGAACCAAUCAAUUAAUUGGUUUUCGGUCCAAUUUGUUUGUUGAAUUCAAUUGAAAUAGUUUAAUUUAAUUUAGGGUUUUUAGAUAUGAAAGUUUUAUAUUACAAUAAUUGAAUUUUGAAAUUUUUUUAUAGAUUUUUUAUAUUAUAUAUUUUAACUUAUUUAAAAUGUUUUCAAAUGUUUUCAAAAUAUUAGUUAAAAUUUGUUAACACCGAUCUUAAUUGUCCUUAUUUAUUCACCUUUGAAAACUACAAGGUUUCCAUUAAUCUUUUUACCCUUCAUUUUUGUUAGCUUUUGGCUCUAUUCUUCGGCAGAGCAUAGCAUGCAAUACAAAAAGCAGAGAUCAUACUUGCUACCCUCAUUUGUUUAUCUGCCCACAUAUUCGAUUGGCAUGUAUUUUUCUGAAAGGCAUUUGACAACUUCAAGAAUUUAGAUGCAGAAAAAUAGGUGGUAAUUACUUAAUUGCUUUACAUUUUUAAAAUCAUAAUAAUCUCAUAAUUUCAAAUGAUCUAAUAUAACCUCGUGACUAAGCUGCUUCUUUUUCAGCACGAGUUCAAUGGAAGAGCCAAAAAGCAGGACAUGCAUUCUUCAUCAGCUGAUCUGUCCAUGGCAUUGUGCUCCCAUGAAAUCCUCCUCUCUAUGCACAUUUGUUCUUCCUUUUUCUGUUUUUCUUUGUUGACGAGUCAAUCUGUAUGCAUUCUUCAUCAGCUGAUCUUGGAGCUUGUAUAUAUAGAUGAUUUGUGGACUUAGAGGCACACUUAGUAACUAUUAUUUGAGUGCCACCUUAUGAGUGUUGAUUUUCUCUUGCAUAGCUAAUGUAAGUUGGAAGAGUAUUUAGUUAAUUGUACAAAGGUGAGGUUGCACCAAGUUUGGAGGGUUGGGCAUAAAUAAUUUCAUUGUACUGUGAAGUUUAUAGCGAUUUUAUCUCUAGACAAAGCUCACAAAUGUAGGAUGAGUUUUGAACUGCGGAAACAUCUUGGUUGUGUUCUUUAUUCUCCUUUAUUUUUACUUUUUUGUGUGUCAACUUAAAAAAAAUAUAUACAUUUUUCUCUUUCGGGGUUUCAAAUAAUAAUCCAACACAUGGAAACACAACUAAUUAACAGGCAAUCUUGUGUACAUUAUGUAAGACUAUCAUUUAAUGAAAACGUUGCAGUACCUAAUGAUUGGUUGAAUGCUUAGCAUAGCUCCCUUCAGUUACCAAAUUUUGAGGAUACAAAUAUGGAUGCCCUGCAACCACUGCAUCCCUUUUAGCUUAUUACAAAACAAUUAAACCUAGAUCCAAUGUCUUCUUUAUCUUCCAUUAACUUUUGUAUUUUAGGAAUUUUGUUUUCGUUGAACAGGAAAAUUUUGGGUAAAAUUAAUAUUAUAUGAAGAAAGUUAGUUUAGUUCAACAACUCAAGCAAGGGGAGAAGAGAUGUCUAUAUAUGUUCAAUUUGUACCUUGUGAGCUGUUUUCAAUUAAACUAAGGUAAAGUCUAAUUAAAAAUUUCAAAAAAAUUGAAGGCUUAAUGAAAAUUUUCCAAAUUUAGGGGAGGGGAAUUCUGCCCUGAGUAAUUUUUGAAACUAUAUAGAUCGAGCUGAGUUGUGAUUCUAUAUUUGUGUAUUUGAAUUAAAAAAUAAUUUAUCUAAUAAUCGAUUUGAAUAUUGAACGAAUAAUUCAAUCCUUAAGUAUGUAUAGUUUUAAAUGAAAACUAAAUAUCUAAACAAUUCAAUUGAUCAAUUUUACAACUUAAAUUAUUGUUCUAAUUUUUUUUUCAAUGUUCACAAUAGAAAAAAAAAAAAAAAGCUGUAUGUGAAACGUUUUAAAAAAAUUACAAUUAAGCCCAUGUAAUUUGUUGCACUAUAUAAAUUUAGAAAAUUGAUGUUUGUGAACCUUAAUUUUUGUAUUUUCUUUGAACUCGAAAAAGAAGGAUUUUUGAGCCUCACUUUUUGAAUAAAUAAAACAUGCACUAAUUAGUGAGCCAAGUUUUCGAAUGCUACAUUUAUUUAUUCAUUAUUAUGAAAUUAAUAUUUUCUUAUUUUGUUUUUUAACAAAAAGGAAAAUAUAAUAUUUAGGUAAAAAAGAAAAUUCUACAUUAGAAUCAUAAAAGAUGCACACUUUUAAGAUAUUAAAUUAAUGGAUUUUUAUGUUUAAUGUAUGAUAUAAUUAUAUUAUACACCCAAUAAGAUUAUUUUAUUAGAAAGUAAAAUUAUUUAUUCAUUAAAAAUAUUAUAAUAUAAUAUCGUUUUAUUCAUUAAUUGUUAAUUGUAUGACAUUAAAUAAAAUUAUUAAAUUAAUUAUAAGAAGGAUAAAAAGGAAAAAAUGUAAUGCUUUUUAUUUAAUUAUGCUACUUGGUGGGUGGAUGGUAAUAUCUAUAAAUAUACUCAAGUCUCUGCAUGUAUGGAUCCACAUUUGUGUUUCAUCUUGUUCCAAUCAUUCUCAUUUUACUCCUCCUCUUGCAAUAACCCUUCUUUGCUUGAUUUCUGUUUGAACCAGCAAUGGCCGAAGCAAUUGCAUUCGACCUCGCCCUAGAGCUUAUUACUAAGUUGAGCUCUUGUGCUCUCUCUCAAGUUGGGCUGUGGUGGAAUCUAAAACAUGACAUCCACGACCUCAAACGCACUGUCUGUCAAAUCAAAGCUGUGCUUCUUGACGCUGAAGAGAAAUCGGUGACCGACAAUCUCGUCAAAGUUUGGCUUGAAGAGCUGAAAUAUGUACUUUAUGAUGCCGACGACUUGCUCGAUGAUUUCUCUACUGAAGCUUUGCGGAAAGAUGUAUCGGGUGGGAACAAGCUGGCGAAAGAGGUACGCCUUUUCUUCUCAACCUCAAACCAAUUUGCUUAUGGUCUCAAAAUGGGUCGGAAAAUGAAGGCCAUUAAGGCGAGAUUAACUUCAAUUGAAAGGGAGGCCAACACUUUUGGCUUCAUUCCGCGUGAUCGCCCCGCGGAAACCUCUUUCAUGACUAAAAGGAGGCAGCAAACGCACUCUUUUGAGCGUGAAGAUGACAUAAUAGGGAGGGAUGAUGAUAAAGCAGCUCUUCUAAAACUCGUGUUGGAGUUUCAAAGUGAAGAGAAUGUUUAUAUCAUUCCAAUUGUGGGGUUUGGAGGGUUAGGGAAGACUGCUUUGGCCCAACUUGUCUAUAACCAGGAAAUGGUCAAAAAUCAUUUUGACUUAACGAUGUUUGCGUGUGUUUCAGAUGAUUUUGAUGUGAAAGUUAUUGUAGCAAACAUUAUCAAAUCUGUGACUCAUCAAGCACCUGAUCAAAAUCUUGAAAUGGAUCAAUUGCAAAAACAACUUCGAGAUAAAAUUGAUGGGAAAAAAUAUUUGCUUGUUUUGGAUGACAUUUGGAAUGAGGACCCAGAAAAGUGGUCUAGGCUAAAGAAGUUAUUGAUGGGUGGGGCUAAAGGGAGUAGGAUAAUAGUAACGACUCGAUCUCUAAGGGUAGCGGAGAUAACUAAUAAAUGUCAAUCCCAUGUUUUGAAACUGAAAGGCUUGUCUGAUGAUGAUGCUUGGUCUUUGUUCAAAAGGAUAGCAUUUGAGCAAGGAUAUGCAGACUCAACAAAUUCAGCCUUUGUGGAAGUAGGGAGACAGAUUUCGGAAAGGUGUGGUGGGGUUCCCUUAGCCAUAAGGACGAUAGCUGGUACAUUAUCUUUGAAGAAAACUGCAAAUGAGUGGUAUUCUUUCAAAGAAAAUGAACUUGCUAAAAUAUCACAAAUUGAAGGAGAACUUCUACCUAUACUGAAAUUGAGUUAUG
rnacentral:lncRNA from 1 species